rnacentral:rRNA from 1 species
UUGGUGCCGUUCGGGAACUCUGACACGAGGUGCUGCAGUGGCUGUCGUCAGCUCGUGUCGUGAGAUGGUUGGGUUAACGUCCCGUAACGAGCGCCAACCCUUGUCCUUAGUUACCAGCACGUUAUGGGUGGGCACUCUAAGGAGACUGCCGGUGAACAAACCGGAGGAAGGGUGGGGAUGACGUCAAGUCAUCAUGGCCCUUACGGCCUGGGCUACACACGUGCUACAAUGGUCGGUACAAAGGGUUGCCAAGCCGCGAGGUGGAGCUAAUCCCAUAAAACCGAUCGUAGUCCGGAUCGCAGUCUGCAACUCGACUGCGUGAAGUCGGAAUCGCUAGUAAUCGUGAAUCAGAAUGUCACGGUGAAUACGUUCCCGGGCCUU